rnacentral:tRNA from 1 species
CUUUAUUAAUAAAUUAAGUAUAUAUGUACAUAUCAUUUACAAUGAUAAAGUCUAAUUA